AUUUCUAAUAGUUCUUUUACGUUCUUUUAUUGUUCUUUUAUAUGUCAGCCUGUUUUUAUUUUAGAGAUGCAAUACAUGCUUUAAAUCUGAGUUUACUACCAUGGAUUAAACACAUUAUUCCAAUUUUUUCAUUAUCUCUGUUGACAUUUUAUAACUUGAAGCUCAAUGUGUCACUCACAUCUGUGAAUUAGCUUCUAUGCUGAUUGAUCCCUUUGCCAGCACGGUUUGCUUUGCAGUUUUGUAGGUCUGUUGCCCUAAAGGCCCCCUCCUGUGAGGUCAGAAGCCUGAUUGUGAGCCGGUCCAGUUGUCAGGCAAGCUUCUCUUUAGAUUAUGAGGCUGUAGGGCAUGCAGGCUAGAAAUACCAUAGGGUGGAGGACUUAGUUCAGGGUGGUGUACUUUGAUUAAUUUUGUUUCAGGUAGAGCUGCUUUUCCCUUUCUCUCCUCAAUAACUAGCUCCAUUAAGGAGAUUCAGAGCCAUCUUCUUCUGUUUUCUCCUCCUCUCACCGACUGCAGCUGCCACUGUAAGACAUUCAGGAAAAUCUUCCGCUCAGAUUAAAGGUCAAAGAGAAACAAUCUUCCAGAAAAUAUGCAUAAAACAAAGGACCUUACAAGACAACUUGCAUGGAUACUCUGAAGCAACUUUGAGGUCUCCUUGAUGAGGAAAGUUGGCUCAACCUGCUGUAGAGUAGGCUCACAGCCAAGCCAUUGAGAGAAAAGUCCAUGGGAGACAAAUUAUCUCAUGCAGCUGAGAUGUCCUGGAGAUUUUCCACAGCACCACUUGGCCAGUGCCUGGACAAGGCAAUCUUCCCCAGUCGUCAACACAGACACCAGUGGAUCUGAAUUCAGUCAUUGUCGACUGGUGUUCUGCCUGUCCUAGAUGUCAUGGUCUUGCUCUUUUGGCCAGGCUGGAGUUCAGUUGUGUGACCUUGGCUCAACACAACCUCUAUCAACUUCAAGAAACCCUCUCACCUCAGCCUCCCGAGUAACUGGGACUACAGAAUGAAACUAUGUAAGAGACAAAUGAAGAAACCAUUGUAAAAGAACUGAAUGGAGCCUUGUUGCUGCUUCCUCAGAAGGGAAGGAACACCAUGUCCUCACAUGUAGAAGGUACAGAAGGGAAAAAACCCACACCCUCAAACACUUUUAUAAGGGCCUGAAUCCCUUCAUCACCUUCUAAAUACCCCAUCUCUUAAUAUUAUUACAUUGUCUAUUAAGUUUCAACAAAAAAUUUGGGGUGUACCCAAUUUGGUCAUUGUUUGGAUAUUAGAACACAAAAUUUAAUGACUCAGUUUCUUACUAUACGUAAGACAUUAUUAUCACAUUAAUUUUGUUAUUUUUAUUACAAUUGUAACAAAACCUAGGAACAUUUGUAUACAGAACUUAAACACAAAGACUUUCCAGAUUUUGUCAUUUAAUCCCAAAAUCUUACCACUUAAGGGAAGGUAUCUUAAUUACGGUUAUCCCCAAACAUAUGCAAAUGCAAAGAUUGGAAGACCUAAGUAACGACUAAGUUGUGGAGCUGAGACUGAAUUCUGGGUUUCAGACUAUAACUUCCAAAACAUUUCUGUUGCAUAAUGAGGUAAACAAUAUAGUUCCUAAACUGGAAGAUUAAAUGAUUCCUUCAUAGAGGAAAUUAAAAAAAAAUAUAUAUAUAUAUAUAGAAGAAAACAGUUCCUAGUUAUUUUGGAAAUUGUAUUAUGUGUUGCAAAACAAUGACAAUAAAUGUACUUAAAUAAAUCACCAACUUAAUAACUCAUCUUCAGUUGAAUCCUUAGUUUUCUCAUGCAAAGUCUAGUAUUCCUACAGAGCCAGAACAGUGUACAAAGAACAAGACAGGGAGAUAAAAUUAAUGCUAGCUUAGUUUUAUAUGAAGCAUCAAUUAGGAAUAUUAACUGUUCUCAUGUUUAAAUAUUUGCUCUUGGCAAAAUCCAAACAAGCUCACUAUGUGUUAGAUUAGUAGGUAUAGAGUCAGCAUGGUGGUAGAUCUGGAGUGGAGCACGUGCAUUUUGUAGAUUCAAAGAUGUUGUCAAUUUUAAAAAAUAUCAAUUGUCUAUUAAAUGUGGAGAGAAUACCACUUUAUUGAAUGCACACCAAAAUUUUAAGAUGUCUUCCAUUUUCAGAGCAAUUUUUAUAAAAAAGGAUAUGCUGAAGUUUAUUCUACUACAGGCAUGAAAGUUACCAUGCAAACCAGAGAUACAUUUGUUCUUUGUGAAGAAGCUUCUGCCCAUUUGUCCGUUUCAGUGUAUCAUUUAAACAGUACAGCCAGUGCUCAAUAGCAGCGUCAGUUGAAGUCACCAUCAUGGCUACACAAAUUGAUUCCUUAUGUGGGAAAAAAAAAAAAAAGGCCUCAAAUGGCUGAUGGACAAUUAAAUAUCUUGGUUCCCAUGUUAUUUCCCUGGAACCUCAAGUAGAUUUAGUCAGACCCUUGUUAAUUGAUAAAUAUGAUUGAGGACUUUGCUAUAUCUUUUUUUCAUCAAAUGAGUACAUUCGUCAGAAACAUAAAUAACACAUUGUAGUGAUGAUUGCCUACAUGGGGAGAUUUUUAGCUUCAAGUAAUGGAUACACAACCCAAAGUGAACAUUUAUUCUAUGAGAGAACACAAAGUACAGACGGAGCGUGGUUCCAUUAUUGAUUCAGUAUCUCAGUGACACGAUCCAUGUGCUAGGUGUUUUUUCAUCUUUGCACUCUCUCCAACUCAGCCUGUCAGCCAAGUGUAAGUCCACAUUUCCAAAAAGGCUGCAGCCUUUCCAGGUCUUUGCAGGGAGAAAUGAUCAUGACCACAUUCUCUGAAGGAGGAGAAGGGAACUUCCUCCCCUGAGUCUCAUUUUAUUAAGGAAAAAAAAAUUUUUUUUUACAUGCUCAGCCCUCAACCUGAAGACAUUCACAAUUCUUAUUUUUCAGUAGCAAUUAAUUUUAUUAGUUUGACAAUAAUUUAUGAUCAUAAAACAAUGCAAUUCAAGAAAUGACUAAAAUAUGUUAAAGAAAACAUCAUAAUUAUUCCUGGCACUUAGGUCUAAUAUUUCAAAACAGACUAUUUCAGCAACUGAUUUAUAAAGUGCUAAUAUAAAAAAAUCUCAAAUAUGUUUAAUUUCACCCAUAAACUAUAAAUUAUGAAUUACUAUAAAUUUUUGGUUAGCAAAAAAAGCCAAAAUAUUUUUCCUCAUGCAACUUAGUUAUAGUGAUAAUUAAUUUGAAGAGCACUUAUAUAGACUGAAUGUUGACGCAAGAAGUAGUUUUUGCAUGAGCAUUUUGAGCAUUAUCUUGGAAUUAGAAGUAGUUUUAAGUCACUGUCUUCUGUGUGUUGGUUUCCUGCUGCCUCUGUAACAAAUUACUGGAAACUUGGUGGCUUAAACAACAGAAAAUUUAUUCUUUCACAGUUCUGGAUGUCAUAAAUCUGAAAUCAGUAUCAAGGGGUUUGGAGGGUGUGGCCAUCAGGAAACUUCUACACAGAUAACUCCUUAUCCUUUAGAUAAUAUUUCUAGUGGCCACCAACAUUCACUGGCUUAUGGUACAUCAGUCUCACCUCCGCCUGUGUGAUCACAUCCCCUCUCCUUUUCUGUCUGUGUGGUCAAAUUUCUUUCUGCUUCCCUCUUACACAGAUACAUGUGAUUGUAUUUAGAGUCCAUCUGGCUAAUACUGGAUAAUCUUUUAGGUCAAGAUCUUUAACUUAAUCACAUGCAAUGAUUGAUUUUUGUCUGAUUUUUCAUAUAAGGUAAUAUUCAGAGUUUCAAGAAAUCUAGAUAUGAAUUUUUUCUGAAACGUUUUGGACCUACUGCACACUCAUUCACUCAUUCAUUUAUGUAUUUAACAAAUAUUAAAUGAACACCUGCAAUGGAACGGACACUGUUCUAAUGCAGGGUAUAUAACAGCAAACUAAAGAGACAAAGAUUUUACUUUCUUGGAGUUUACAUUCUAGAACAAACAUUGGCAAACUGUUUCUGUAAAGGGCCAGAUAGUAAAUACUGUUUGUAGAUCAUACAGUUUCUCUGUUGCAACUACUGAACUCUCCUGUUAUAGCAUAGACACAGCUCCUCCUCUCUAAAUCUAUAAAUAAAUAGCUGUGGCUAUAUUCCCAUAAACAAUUAUAUAUGAAAACAAGAAGCAAGCUAGAUUUGGCUCUUGAGUUAUAGUUGGCCAGCACUUUCUCUGGACAGAAGAUAUAGGAGAAAAAGUGACAGGCAAAUACAGAAUAUGUCAGAUGGUGAUAAGUGAUGUGGUUUUAAAUAAAGCACAUUCAGAGAAAUAGGACAUUCAAAUGUGAAGGCUAUAACUAACCGCUAUAACAGAUAAAUCAAAAAAUUUUAGUGGCUUCCCGAAGAGCCAUUUUCUCAGUGUUUAUGUGAAGUCCGAUACUAAGAUUACUUAUUAGUGGGAAACCUUCCAUGUGGUCAUUCAGGAACCCACCCUCUUGCUUUCUUGCAUCUGCCCUCCUGAGAACUCUAGAAUCGUGUGUUCAGUUGGUGGUUGAAGAAAGGGAGUAGAGAACAGCACACAGGCAUUUUAAGGAAGCAAGAUUACAAGGUUUGGUCAAUUCCACUCAGUUUAUAUGCAUUUUCUUGUCUAACAGUUCAAUUGCCUGACUUCACCUAACUUUAAGAAAAGCAAACUAUGCAGUUGAGCUUUGUGUCCAGGGGCAUUUAAAAAACAGUGUUGGGCCAGGCGCAGUGGCUCACACCUGUAACCCAGAACUUUGGGAGGCCGAGGCG